UACGUAGGGUGCGAGCGUUAAUCGGAAUUACUGGGCGGAAAGCGCGUGUAGGCGGCUCUGCAAGUCAGGUGUGAAAUCCCACGGCUCAACCAUGGAAGUGCACUUGAAACUGCAGGGCUAGAGUCCUGGAGAGGAAGGUGGAAUGCUUGGUGUAGAGGUGAAAUUCGUAGAUAUCAAGCGGAACACCGGUGGCGAAGGCGGCCUUCUGGACAGUGACUGACGCUGAGACGCGAAAGCGUGGGGAGCAAACAGG
rnacentral:rRNA from 1 species